ensembl:lncRNA
UCAGAGACUGCCUGCUCAGCAAGCUGUGCAGGCUGUAUUAUUUAGUGGUUCCUGGAGGAGAGAGUGGUCAGGCUACUCUCGAGCUUGGAAGUCAAGUUGGAAGUUGAACUCUUCUUUCAUCCCUGCAGAUGGCUCCUGCUAAUGCAAACAGAGGCACGCUGGCUGAGCACCAAGCAGGAAGCCUGCACCGCCAGUGCACGUGCUGUGGAUAGGGGCCAGCGCAGUUGAGCCAGCUUCUUUCAUCAGUGCUGAAAUCAGUGUUUGAGUUGGAUGUGAUUUCACAGUUUCCGUGAUUUCCUCUCUUGUUCAAGCUUCAAUCAUGACUUCUGCAGAAACUUUGGUGCUGUGAAUUUCACUAACCCUGCUGAGAAGCAAGGAGAAGGAAACGAGGUUCAAGACAUCCAAGUCAAGACUUGUGGAACUGGUGUCUUGUUUUGCUCAGUCCGUUUGACAGCGGAGCUGUCUGAGACCUUUCUGAUCAGGUGUUUUUGAGGCUGCAUCGACUUUACUGCUAGGAGAUCUCGGUGUUUGCCCUGUGAUUGUCUUACCAUAGGUAAGUGCAUAGGAACAUAGCUUUGGCAGAAUUUUUAUCAGGUAGUACUUUUCCUAGAUUCAAUGUCAAAUGAAAUAGCUACACCAAGACUUAACC